UCGUACUUAUUAGUACUAUAUCGUAAAUACUAAGAUUCAUGUGCGAUGACUAAUUAAACAUUGUGGGAAUUAAAAAGACAGAUGACGCAUUGCAUAACAUUUAAUUCGAUUUGCUAUGAAAAAAGUACAUAUAUAUACAUUGUGGGAAUUAAAAGGAUAAAUAACAAAUUGCGUAACGUUUAAUUCGAUUUAUUAUGAAAAAAGUAUAUAUAUACAUCGAAGCGGUAUUUUGUUGAUGUAUUAUCGUGCAGUGACGUUCGUCGGUAAACGGUUGUUAUUAUUAAUAACUGAAGGUAUUCGUCUGUGUUAUUACCAACUAUGUCGAUAAGUUCAGAAACAAGUCGUGCCGUUUUAGCAGGUACAAAUGACACUCCUCGUCGCGAUAAAUAGCGAAACGCCGGGGAUGUUUUCCGAUAAUCUGAAGUACAUCGAAUAUAUAUGCUGAAUCUAAUGCUUAAAUCUAGAGGACAUGGAUAGAAGACUGAAAAGGAAACACCCAGCAGACCUCACAAAGAACACAACCUAACAAAUACGAAGACGGUAUCCCGCUGGGGGUAGCCACCCACAUGAUAAUCAAACAGCUAAAGAAUUCUACCAAAUAUCCAAAUUGGACAAAUUGUGAAUGUAAAGAAUUAAAUAAAAAAAAAAUCUACAGGGUAAUGUCUUUUUAGCCUGCGGAUCUGA